CCCCUCUCAGGGUCGCACCUGGAAAGUUUCCAGUACUCCACCAGUCUCGACAACAGGAGGGAGAAUCAAGCAGAGGCCUAACCAUUCCAUUCCUAGCUUGGCCAGUGGCUAGCGGGUGGAAGGUAAUCUGCUACAAGG